UCAAUAUUGUAUCACGUAAAUACGUUUUAUAACAGUUAUCUUAAAGUCUAUAAAUCAUGGUUAUUAGUACUUGUAAUAAUGAGAACUCUUAAUAGAUUCAAUGCAUCGUAUUGAAGAUUUUGGAAAUUUGCCAGAAGCAAUUGAUAAUAAUGUUCUUUCAUGCAACAGAUGUGUAAAUAUAUGCACAUUUUCAAAGGACAAUCGAUAUUUAAUUUUAUCAUUAAGAGUAAAUCGAACAUUUCCUGAAAAGGGGGAUUUAUUAAUGUAUCAAUUAUAAUUUCCGCGUGUAUAAAUGACUAUCAAGGUCUCGCGCCAUUAUCAUCGAUUUAAAAUAUCAAAGUAUUUAUAAGUGCGCAUGCCCGGACUCAAAUGGCGCGGCAGAACACAUACAAGAACGAUUGAGAUAGAAUAUCAGCGAGACUAGUGGAACUGAGAAAGACACCAAAGUAAAAUGGCUGCAACUAGUGCCAACAUAUACUUACACUUGUACUUUUCACGUAUCUUUUGGUAAUUUUCGAGCAUGAUCUCACGUGAUAUUUGACCACGAUUAAGUGCACGGUCACCAAUGGAACGCGUGGACACAACAUGGCUGCUAGACGCGCGAAGCAACCAAGACGACUUCGCUUCGAUACUGAAGCACGAUAAGUGUACGUACGCCACGUAUGACCGACUAUCACUGUCUGUUGCGCUCGCCUGCGUUACGAGGGGAUGAAGGGACUGCGUAUAGUUCUGGUUCAAUCAUGCUUCACGCAACGUCGCUGACACAUACGAUCAACUGUCAAGUGGGGAAAACGGUACCUAAAAGACGGAAAUAGAUGUAAAUGUAGGAAUAUAAUACCUAUAGUGUGUUGCCAAGUGUAUUUCCUUAAGGUGUGAAAUUCCAUUAAUUUGUGAUGUGUUAAUCGCAUCGACAAUCUAUAAUCAUCAGCGAAUUUUCAAUUUGCAUGAAUAAAUAUUGAUUAUUUUAAUAUUAAAAUAUAAAAAGAAAG
rnacentral:lncRNA from 1 species